GACGAACGCUGGCGGCGUGCUUAACACAUGCAAGUCGAACGGGGCUGCUAUGAUGGAGUUUUCGGACAACUGAUUAGUAUGCCUAGUGGCGGACGGGUGAGUAACGCGUGAGUAACCUGCCUUUCAGAGGGGGACAACAGCUGGAAACGGCUGCUAAUACCGCAUAAUAUAUACAGAUCGCAUGACUCUGUUGCCAAAGAUUUAUCGCUCUGAGAUGGCCUCGCGUCUGAUUAGCUAGUUGGCGGGGUAACGGCCCACCAAGGCGACGAUCAGUAGCCGGACUGAGAGGUUGGCCGGCCACAUUGGGACUGAGACACGGCCCAG
rnacentral:rRNA from 1 species